ACGCUGGCGGCAGGCCUAACACAUGCAAGUCGAGCGGUAGAGAGAAGCUUGCUUCUCUUGAGAGCGGCGGACGGGUGAGUAAUGCCUAGGAAUCUGCCUGGUAGUGGGGGAUAACGUUCGGAAACGGACGCUAAUACCGCAUACGUCCUACGGGAGAAAGCAGGGGACCUUCGGGCCUUGCGCUAUCAGAUGAGCCUAGGUCGGAUUAGCUAGUUGGUGGGGUAAUGGCUCACCAAGGCGACGAUCCGUAACUGGUCUGAGAGGAUGAUCAGUCACACUGGAACUGAGACACGGUCCAGACUCCUACGGGAGGCAGCAGUGGGGAAUAUUGGACAAUGGGCGAAAGCCUGAUCCAGCCAUGCCGCGUGUGUGAAGAAGGUCUUCGGAUUGUAAAGCACUUUAAGUUGGGAGGAAGGGUUGUAGAUUAAUACUCUGCAAUUUUGACGUUACCGACAGAAUAAGCACCGGCUAACUCUGUGCCAGCAGCCGCGGUAAUACAGAGGGUGCAAGCGUUAAUCGGAAUUACUGGGCGUAAAGCGCGCGUAGGUGGUUAGUUAAGUUGGAUGUGAAAUCCCCGGGCUCAACCUGGGAACUGCAUUCAAAACUGACUGACUAGAGUAUGGUAGAGGGUGGUGGAAUUUCCUGUGUAGCGGUGAAAUGCGUAGAUAUAGGAAGGAACACCAGUGGCGAAGGCGACCACCUGGACUGAUACUGACACUGAGGUGCGAAAGCGUGGGGAGCAAACAG
rnacentral:rRNA from 1 species